UUCAAACGCUUUUAGGUGUGAG
rnacentral:siRNA from 1 species